rnacentral:lncRNA from 1 species
CUUAAUAGAAUUGCAUUGACGGAUGCUUACCUUUUAUACACACCUUCCCAAAUUGCCCUGACUGCCAUUUUAUCUAGUGCCUCCAGGGCUGGAAUUACUAUGGAAAGUUAUUUAUCAGAGAGUCUGAUGCUGAAAGAGAACAGAACUUGCCUGUCACAGUUACUAGAUAUAAUGAAAAGCAUGAGAAACUUAGUAAAGAAGUAUGAACCACCCAGAUCUGAAGAAGUUGCUGUUCUGAAACAGAAGUUGGAGCGAUGUCAUUCUGCUGAGCUUGCACUUAACGUAAUCACGAAGAAGAGGAAAGGCUAUGAAGAUGAUGAUUACGUCUCAAAGAAAUCCAAACAUGAGGAGAUCGCCAAACUUUGGCAUCAGAGCAAGGUCCACACUUAUCACUGAAAAUUUUCCCACCCAGCCCCAUUAAAAACGUUAAAGUGUGAGAGAUUUUAUUUCAACACUGACAAGCUAGUUACUAGAGGGCCUACAAAGGUAAGUAACAAGUUUCCAUUUCAACUUGAGAGACAAAUGAUGUUAAAAUAUAAGAAGCAGGGU